GACGUAGGGCGCGAGCGUUGUCCGGAUUUAUUGGGCGUAAAGGGCGCGUAGGCGGCCACCGCAAGUCGGUUGUGAAAUCUCUGGGCUUAACCCAGAAAGGUCAACCGAUACUGCGGGGGCUAGAGUGCAGAAGGGGGCAACUGGAAUUCUCGGUGUAGCGGUGAAAUGCGUAGAUAUCGAGAGGAACACCUGCGGCGAAGGCGGGUUGCUGGGCUGACACUGACGCUGAAGCGCGAAAGCUAGGGGGAGCGAACGGG
rnacentral:rRNA from 1 species